rnacentral:rRNA from 1 species
UAGCAAUACCCGGCCUAGAGUGGCGCAAGGGUGCGCAACACGUAUGCAACCUGCCCACGGCCGGGGCACAGCCCCCCGAAAGGGGGAUUAACGCCCCAUAGGAAUAGGGGACGGCAUCGUCCUUUAUUUAAACCACGGGGCCGUGGAUGGGCAUGCGCUUGAUUAGCUAGUUGGCGGGGCAACGGCCCACCAAGGCGAUGAUCAAUAGGGGACCUGAGAGGGUGAUCCCCCACACUGGCACUGAGAUACGGGCCAGACUCCUACGGGAGGCAGCAGUAGGGAAUAUUGGACAAUGGGUGCGAGCCUGAUCCAGCCAUGCCGCGUGCAGGAAGAAGGCCUUCUGGGUUGUAAACUGCUUUUGCCGGGGGAUAAAAGACCCAUGCGUGGGGAAUUGAAGGUACCCGGUGAAUAAGCCACGGCUAACUACGUGCCAGCAGCCGCGGUAAUACGUAGGUGGCGAGCGUUGUCCGGAUUUAUUGGGUUUAAAGGGUGCGUAGGCGGUCCAUUAAGUCAGUGGUGAAAUACGGCAGCUCAACUGUCGAGGUGCCAUUGAUACUGAAGGACUUGAGUACAGUCGAGGUAGGCGGAAUUGACGGUGUAGCGGUGAAAUGCUUAGAUAUCGUCAAGAACACCGAUAGCGAAGGCAGCUUGCUAGGCUGUAACUGACGCUGAGGCACGAAGGUGCGGGGAUCAAACAGGAUUAGAUACCCUGGUAGUC